CAUGCAGAGUUCUCUCCAUGAAAGUUUAGGUAAAGCUGGGAAGAUCAAGGUUUGGUUUCAAUAUCUUGGCUAUUUCAGAGCAUGGGGAAAGCUGCUCAGCAGCUGCUGUGAAUGACAGGGAUAUGCAAGGGCCUGGGGGCUGGUAAUGCUUCCAGUGGGUGAGACAGUGAAGUUGGGAUUUCAGCACAACUCCUUUGAUGCCUGUUCAGUGCAGCUGUGAGGAUGACAGAUGUGCUAAAAUAGACUUGGCACCCCUGAAAAAUCUCACCCUGCUGCAUGGAAGAAGGCAAGAAAAGAGGGUAUACAUGCCAACUUCCCAAGGAAGUGCACAGGAGCUGCAGAGUUUCCAUCACCCACCUUAAUUUCUGGAGCUGAGCUUUUUGUAUCAAACUGACCUCUACAGAGGAACUGUUCUCUUUAAUUGGGUGUCAAGAUGAGGAUUUGGCCUGGCUCAUACCUAGUUCACUCUCAGCCUUAUCAGGGCAACUUUUGCAUCAUGUCUUGUGUUUUUAGCCUUCUAAGUACUGUUGGUGAAGAAAGAACUCAAACAGGACAUACCAGUUUAAUUUAGACUGUUGCAAUCUCCUAAUACAAAGGCACUCAAGUUCUUAAGACCGCUCAGUUUCUGUAAUUUGGGUGCUAUUCAGCUUGCAACUGUAGAAAUGUAGCUUUCAUCAACAUUUGAAAACAAUCAGUCUUCUUCCUCACCACUGUUUCAGUCCUUACUCUGUUCCAGUUUAUUUACUGUCUCUUCUGCUUUUGCUACUGCUCUAAUAGCACACUUAAACUACCAAGUGAAGAAUAUAUUUAAUAAUUAUGCUUAGUGAUUCAACAGAAAGUGUCACCAGAGGACUUUCAUAUUCUUUCCAAACAUUAACGCAUUUCUGUAUUUGUUCCCUAUCUUCUAGUACUUGCAGGAUUUAAGACUUUUACCUUGUGACAGUGAAAUAUUGUUAUGUUAUAUCCUUUGCAGUAGAUUAAGUCUAUUUCAUAAAAUGGGAUAGUCUUAAUUCUUACUGAAGUGUCUAAAGAGAUGAGGAUCAAAAGGCACUGUAGGAUAAUGGAGUAAGUCUUUCACAUAUCCACUCUCUUCUCUGCAACCUACAUAUUGGAUGCAUAAUUUUAUGUCAUUUUUCCAAAGUUUGGAUAGCCCUUUUAGAAUUAAGACUAAGGAAUUAGUGGUUGUUUAAAGGUAAGACGUAUGUCCCAAAAUGAAGUUUUUCUGAAAUAUUAACUUGGGGUGAAGAAAAGGCAGCUGUAUCAUUUACUGAGACCUUUUAGUUAUAGCUUUAGUUAUAACAGGACACUUUAGGAAGCAUUUAGGUACCAGGAUGUUGAAAACAAAAUAUUCAGUAUGGUCAUUAAAGAAAGCACCUAAGACUCUCAGAACAUCCUCCUUUCAUUCGGAUCAUUUUAUGAUGGAUUUGCCUCCUCUCCUCCAUCAUUCGUGUUUUAAAGGUAAAAAAAAAUAAAUGGUCCAGCAUUGUUCUGAAACAAUCCAGGGGAGCAAUAUAUUCCAAAGCUGUAUAGCCAUAACUAAUCACUUUCAUUCAUGGUUUAUGUCAGGGUAGAAUUUUAACUUGCAAUUAACUUGCAAUUUCAGGCAGUUAGCGGUUGACCUUUUUCUGCUUUCAGGCUCUAAACCAGAUUUAGCUAUCUCUUCAGAGAACUAAUGUGAUUAAACCUUCAUGUGUGUCAGAGCUCCACAUAGAUGAGUGGCAGAGGAACUUAAGAUGGCUUGAGUCACCUUUCUUGGGAAACUCUAGAGCUGGUUACAGCAUUCCAAACAGCUCUUUCUACAUUGAAUUAGAAACAACCA